UCUGACCGAGCACGCCGCGUGAGUGAAGAAGGUUUUCGGAUCGUAAAGCUCUGUUGUAAGUCAAGAACGUGUGUGAGAGUGGAAAGUUCACACAGUGACGGUAGCUUACCAGAAAGGGACGGCUAACUACGUGCCAGCAGCCGCGGUAAUACGUAGGUCCCGAGCGUUGUCCGGAUUUAUUGGGCGUAAAGGGAGCGCAGGCGGUCAGGAAAGUCUGGAGUAAAAGGCUAUGGCUCAACCAUAGUGUGCUCUGGAAACUGUCUGACUUGAGUGCAGAAGGGGAGAGUGGAAUUCCAUGUGUAGCGGUGAAAUGCGUAGAUAUAUGGAGGAACACCAGUGGCGAAAGCGGCUCUCUGGUCUGUCACUGACGCUGAGGCUCGAAAGCGUGGGUAGCGAACAGGAUUAGAUACCCUGGUAGUCCACGCCGUAAACGAUGAGUGCUAGGUGUUAGGCCCUUUCCGGGGCUUAGUGCCGGAGCUAACGCAAUAAGCACUCCGCCUGGGGAGUACGACCGCAAGGUUGAAACUCAAAGGAAUUGACGGGGGCCCGCACAAGCGGUGGAGCAUGUGGUUUAAUUCGAAGCAACGCGAAGAACCUUACCAGGUCUUGACAUCCCGAUGCUAUUCUUAGAGAUAGGAAGUUACUUCGGUACAUCGGAGACAGGUGGUGCAUGGUUGUCGUCAGCUCGUGUCGUGAGAUGUUGGGUUAAGUCCCGCAACGAGCGCAACCCUUAUUGUUAGUUGCCAUCAUUAAGUUGGGCACUCUAGCGAGACUGCCGGUAAUAAACCGGAGGAAGGUGGGGAUGACGUCAAAUCAUCAUGCCCCUUAUGACCUGGGCUACACACGUGCUACAAUGGUCGGUACAACGAGUUGCGAGCCGGUGACGGCAAGCUAAUCUCUGAAAGCCGAUCUCAGUUCGGGAUUGGAGGCUGCAACUCGCCUCCAUGAAGUCGGAAUCGCUAGU
rnacentral:rRNA from 1 species